ACUGUCUUGUUAGAUUAACCCAAUAAAUUUCAUUCACUCCGCAUACUCAAUCCUAUAGACGCCCUUUUAAUCCUUCAAUCACAGACGUAACUCGAUUUUACAAAACAGUCAAGAGUAUUCAAAUCCACUUCAUUAAAAAUCUCGAUUCACCAUUACAAUACUGACUUCAGCAGCGAUUGCCUCAGCCUUUCCAAAACUCUACGAAGAAGAAAAAUCCAAAUUCUCU
rnacentral:lncRNA from 1 species